UACGUAGGGAGCAAGCGUUGUCCGGAAUCAUUGGGCGUAAAGAGCGCGUAGGCGGUCCGGUAAGUCGGUUGUGAAAACUGGGGGCUCAACCCUCAGAGGCCGACCGAUACUGCCGGGCUAGAGUCCGGAAGAGGCGAGUGGAAUUCCUGGUGUAGCGGUGAAAUGCGCAGAUAUCAGGAGGAACACCGGUGGCGAAGGCGGGUCUCUGGGCCGAUACUGACGCUGAGGAGCGAAAGCGUGGGGAGCGAACAGG
rnacentral:rRNA from 1 species